rnacentral:tmRNA from 1 species
GGGGAUGCCAGGCAUCGACGGUUGAUGUUUGUUGUUGUGUGCAGUGUCGAAAUCGGUCUCCAUUUCGUUAAAAGGAGUCCAGUAUAGAUGCAAACAAAUCUGUACCAAGUCCAUAUGCUAACGCAUUUGGAUUCGCACCCGCUGUAGCGUAACUAAACGCUCGCCGAUGCGACGCGACAUGAAGUGAGGUCUCAUAUCUUCAUGCUCGUGGAAUAGCCAUGAGACUCUGGAACCCUAGUUCGUUUAGCUAGGCACCCAAGAUGUAUAAACUCGAUAUGCAAUGCUUUUGUCCAUUCUUUAUAUUGCAUAUUUAAACCCUAGAAUGGUCUACGCACUGUAGAAGCACUUGAACGCAUUGAUUCGGACGCGGAUUCGACUUCCGCCAUCUCCACAG